UUGACUGCAAUUUUUUUCAGGCUCAGCUAAUCCUUCUCAACUUUCACACUGAGGGACAUGGAGGAGUCUUGUACUUCUGUGCACAGUUUGCUGGUAUUUGGCUACUGUCAUGAAUGAGGACCUGCACUCAAAAAUUUUUUUAAAAAAAUAAAGAAAAAUCCUAAGUGAAGGGUCCUGGAGAGAGCCCCUUGAGAGCUGAAAACCGCCCUUCCCUGGUGUGAAAGACCCGUCAUGUACGCUGCUUCUCGCAGGUCAGCGGUGCUGUAAGGCCUGCUGGUGGGGGAGUGAGCAGGGGGCUGCCUGGGGCUGAGUUGCUGG